rnacentral:rRNA from 1 species
CACGGGGGGAGCAAGCGUUGUUCGGAAUCACUGGGCGUAAAGGGCGUGUAGGCGGUCAGGUAAGUGGGAUGUGAAAUGCCCCGGCUCACCCGGGGACCGGCAUCCCAUACUGCUUGGCUUGAGUACGGGAGAGGAUGUGGGAAUUCCUGGUGUAGCGGUGAAAUGCGUAGAUAUCAGGAGGAACACCGGUGGCGAAGGCGCACAUCUGGCCCGAUACUGACGCUGAGGCGCGAAAGCUAGGGGAGCAAAAGGG